rnacentral:misc_RNA from 1 species
GAAAGACUAGAGCAACUGGACAAUGAAAAGGAAAAAAAUUUAAAAAGGCACGUGUAUGUGAUUUUUGGCGCAUGCAUAAUUGAGGUAACGGCCGUUACCAUUACUUAACGGUAAAUAACGGCAGUUACCAUUACAUAACGGCGGUAAUGGCUGUCACAUCUGCAACUCAGAAUUUACCUAUGUAUAAUGGGGUAACGAGUAAUGGGGCCUUCAAAAACCUAUAAAUAAAUGUCGUUACAUUACGUAAUGGCAAUUAUUUAAAACCAUGUGUCUUAUCUCCCUUAAAUUUAUUUGCAUAUGUGGAUUAACUAAUGCCUUGUCAUAGUUUUUUAUUCAUUUGUGAUAC